rnacentral:misc_RNA from 1 species
GAUGAAGAACGCAGUGAAAUGCGAUAAGUAAUGUGAAUUGCAGAAUUCAGUGAAUCAUCGAAUCUUUGAACGCACAUUGCGCCCUCUGGUAUUCCGGGGGGCAUGCCUGUUCGAGCGUCAUUAUAACCACUCAAGCUCUCGCUUGGUAUUGGGGCUCGCGGUUCCGCGGCCCCUAAAAUCAGUGGCGGUGCCUGUCGGCUCUACGCGUAGUAAUACUCCUCGCGAUUGAGUCCGGUAGGUCUACUUGCCAGCAACCCCCAAUUUUUACAGGUUGACCUCGGAUCAGGUAGGGAUACCCGCUGAACUUAAGCAUAUCAAUAGCGGAGGA